UACGGAGGGGGCUAGCGUUGUUCGGAAUUACUGGGCGUAAAGCGCACGUAGGCGGCUUUGUAAGUUAGAGGUGAAAGCCCAGGGCUCAACCCUGGAAUUGCCUUUAAGACUGCAUCGCUCGAAUCAUGGAGAGGUGAGUGGAAUUCCGAGUGUAGAGGUGAAAUUCGUAGAUAUUCGGAAGAACACCAGUGGCGAAGGCGACUCACUGGACAUGUAUUGACGCUGAGGUGCGAAAGCGUGGGGAGCAAACAGG
rnacentral:rRNA from 1 species